CAGGCCUAACACAUGCAAGUCGAACGCUCCGCAAGGGGAGUGGCGCACGGGUGAGGAACGCGUGGGGAUCUGCCCUUUAGUUCGGAAUAGCGUCGGGAAACUGGCGCUAAUACCGGAUACGCUAUUUGGUCUUGGUCGACCGGAUAGGAAAGAUUUAUCGCUAAAGGAUGAACCCGCGUUAGAUUAGUUUGUUGGUGGGGUAAUGGCCUACCAAGACUACGAUCUAUAGCUGGUCUGAGAGGACGAUCAGCCACACUGGAACUGAGACACGGACCAGACUCCUACGGGAGGCAGCAGUAAGGAAUAUUGGUCAAUGGAGGCAACUCUGAACCAGCCAUGCCGCGUGCAGGAAGACGGCCCUCUGGGUUGUAAACUGCUUUUAUCCGGGAAUAAACCUACUUACGUGUAAGUAGCUGAAUGUACCGGAGGAAUAAGGAUCGGCUAACUCCGUGCCAGCAGCCGCGGUAAU
rnacentral:rRNA from 1 species